ACACUCCUGCGGGAGGCAGCAGUGGGGAAUAUUGCACAAUGGGCGCAAGCCUGAUGCAGCCAUGCCGCGUGUAUGAAGAAGGCCUUCGGGUUGUAAAGUACUUUCAGCGGGGAGGAAGGCGAUAAGGUUAAUAACCUUGUUGAUUGACGUUACCCGCAGAAGAAGCACCGGCUAACUCCGUGCCAGCAGCCGCGGUAAUACGGAGGGUGCAAGCGUUAAUCGGAAUUACUGGGCGUAAAGCGCACGCAGGCGGUCUGUCAAGUCGGAUGUGAAAUCCCCGGGCUCAACCUGGGAACUGCAUUCGAAACUGGCAGGCUAGAGUCUUGUAGAGGGGGGUAGAAUUCCAGGUGUAGCGGUGAAAUGCGUAGAGAUCUGGAGGAAUACCGGUGGCGAAGGCGGCCCCCUGGACAAAGACUGACGCUCAGGUGCGAAAGCGUGGGGAGCAAACAGGAUUAGAUACCCUUGUAGUCCCAU
rnacentral:rRNA from 1 species